CCUACGGGCGGCAGCAGUGAGGAAUAUUGGUCAAUGGCCGGAAGGCUGAACCAGCCAUGCCGCGUGAAGGUCAGUGCCCUAUGGGCGUUAAACUUCUUUUGUGCGGGAGCAAUAAUGGUCACGUGUGGCCAGACGAGAGUACCGUACGAAUAAGCAUCGGCGAACUCCGUGCCAGCAGCCGCGGUAAUACGGGGGAUGCAAGCGUUAUCCGGAUUUAUUGGGGUUAAAGGGUGCGUAGGCUGUGAGGUAAGUCAGCGGUGAAAUGCCCCCGCUCAACGGGGUGAAGUGCCAUUGAUACUGGCUUGCUGGAAUGCGGAUGACGUAGGAGGAAUGUGUGGUGUAGCGGUGAAUUGCAUAGAUAUCACACAGAACACCGAUUGCGAAGGCAUCUCACGAAGCCGCGAUUGACGCUGAUGCACGAAAGCGUGGGUAUCAAACAGGAUUAGAUACCCUGGUAGUC
rnacentral:rRNA from 1 species